AUUGAACGCUGGCGACAGGCUUAACACAUGCAAGUCGAGCGGAGAGAGGUAGCUUGCUACUGAUCUUAGCGGCGGACGGGUGAGUAAUGCUUAGGAAUCUGCCUAUUAGUGGCGGACAACAUUUCGAAAGGAAUGCUACUACCGCAUACGUCCUACGGGAGAAAGCAGGGGAUCUUCGGACCUUGCGCUACUAGACGAGCCUAAGUCGGAUUAGCUAGUUGGUGGGGUAAAGGCCUACCAAGGAGACGAUCUGUAGCGGUUCUGAGAGGAUGAUCCGCCACACUGGGACUGAGACACGGCCCAGACUCCUACGGGAGGCAGCAGUGGGGAAUAUUGGACAAUGGGGGGAACCCUGAUCCAGCCAUGCCGCGUGUGUGAAGAAGGCCUUAUGGUUGUAAAGCACUUUAAGCGAGGAGGAGGCUUCUUUGGUUAAUACCCAAAGUAGUGGACGUUACUCGCAGAAUAAGCACCGGCUAACUCUGUGCCAGCCGCCGCCGUAACAC
rnacentral:rRNA from 1 species